UUCCGGUUGAUCCUGCCGGACCCUACUGCUAUCGGGAUGGGACUAAGCCAUGCGAGUCGUGCGCCUUCAAGCCAUGAUGGAGGCGCGGCAUACGGCUCAGUAACACGUGGUUAACCUAACCUUGGGACGGGGACAACCCCGGGAAACUGGGGCUAAUCCCCGGUGGGUGAGGGGGCCUGGAAUGGUUCCUCACUGAAAGGGCGUUGGAAUCAUGCUUUCCGGCGUUGCCCAAGGAUGGGGCCGCGUCCGAUCAGGUUGUUGGUGGGGCAAUGGCCCACCAAGCCUAUAACCGGUACGGGCCGUGAGAGCGGGAGCCCGGAGAUGGGCACUGAGACAAGGGCCCAGGCCCUACGGGGCGCAGCAGGUGCGAAAACUCCGCAAUGCGCGAAAGCGUGACGGGGCUAUCCCGAGUGCUGUCCGCUGAGGACAGCUUUUCCAUGGUGUAAGGAGCCGUGGGAAUAAGGAGAGGGCAAGACUGGUGUCAGCCGCCGCGGUAAAACCAGCUCUCCGAGUGGUAGGGAUGAUUAUUGGGCUUAAAGCGUCCGUAGCCGGCCUAGCAAGUCUUCCGUUAAAUCCAGCGAUCUAAUCGCUGGGCCGCGGGAGAUACUGUUGGGCUAGGAGGCGGAAGAGGCCGAUGGUAUUUCCGGGGUAGGGGUGAAAUCCUGUAAUCCCGGGAGGACCACCAGUGGCGAAGGCGGUCGGCUAGAACGCGCUCGACGGUGAGGGACGAAGGCUAGGGGAGCGAACCGGAUUAGAUACCCGGGUAGUCCUAGCAGUAAACGAUGCGGGCUAGGUGUUGGGGCGGCUACGAGCCGCUUCAGUGCCGCAUGGAAACAAUUAAGCCCGCCGCCUGGGGAGUACGGCCGCAAGGCUGAAACUUAAAGGGAAUUGGCGGGGGAGCACACAAGGGGUGAAGCUUGCGGUUUAAUUGGAGUCACGCGGA
rnacentral:rRNA from 1 species